rnacentral:rRNA from 1 species
GACGAACGCUGGCGGCGUGCUUAACACAUGCAAGUCGAACGGAAAGGCCCGGCUCUUGUGGGGUGCUCGAGUGGCGAACGGGUGAGUAACACGUGAGUAACCUGCCCUUGACUGUGGGAUAACUUCAGGAAACUGGGGCUAAUACCGGAUAGGAGCUCCUGCUGCAUGGGGGGGGUUGGAAAGUUUCGGCGGUGGGGGCUGGACUCGAGGCUUAUCAGCUGGUUGGUGGGGUAGUGGCGUCCCAAGGCUUUGACGGGUAGCCGGCCUGGGAGGGUGACCGGGCACAUUGGGACUGAGAUACGGCCCAGACUGCUACGGGAGGCAGCAGUGGGGAAUAUUGCACAGUGGGCGGAAGCCUGAUGCAGCAACGCCGCGUGCGGGAUGACGGCCUUCGGGUUGUAAACCGCUUUCGCCUGUGACGAAGCGUGAGUGACGGUAAUGGGUAAAGAAGCACCGGCUAACUACGUG